UUGGACAAUGGGCGCAACCUGAUCCAGCCAUGCCGCGUGAGUGAUGAAGGCCCUAGGGUUGUAAAGCUCUUUCACCGGUGAAGAUAAUGACGGUAAUCGGAGAAGAAGCCCCGGCUAACUUCGUGCCAGCAGCCGCGGUAAUACGAAGGGGGCUAGCGUUGUUCGGAAUUACUGGGCGUAAAGCGCGCGUAGGCGGAUCGAUCAGUUAGGGGUGAAAUCCCGGGGCUCAACCCCGGAACUGCCUCUAAUACUGCNGAUCUAGAGUUCGAGAGAGGUGAGUGGAAUUCCGAGUGUACACGUGAAAUUCGUAGAUAUUCGGAGGAACACCAGUGGCGAAGGCGGCUCACUGGCUCGAUACUGACGCUGAAGUGCGAAAGCGUGGGGAGCAAACAGGAUUAGAUACCCUGGUAGUCCACGCCGUAUACUAUGGAAGCUAGCCGUUGGACAGCUUUCCUGUCGGUGGCGCACAUAACGCAUUAAGCUUCCCGCCUGGGGAGUACUGUCGCAA
rnacentral:rRNA from 1 species